CCGGCCGCUGCCAGCGCUGCCCGUCUGGCUGUGCGCCAGAUGAAGCAACGCAUGAGGUCGCUCGGCAUGUGGGACGACGGCGAUGGCCCGGCGACCGACUCGGACGGCAGCGGCACGGACGUGCGCGGGGUGCUGGACAGGGCGCGCCACUUCCUGCACCGGCAGGCGGCGGGCGCCGGCCGGCGACACCCGGCCACGGAGCCGUCGGACUCGGAGGACAUCUCGACGGAUGACGAGGAGCGCUCGGCCACGGAGCGGGAC